rnacentral:rRNA from 1 species
CCUCAAAUCAGGUAGGACUACCCGCUGRACUUAAGCAUAUCAAUAAGCGGAGGAAAAGAAACUAACAAGGAUUCCCCUAGUAACUGCGAGUGGAGCGGGAAAAGCUCAAAUUUAAAAUCUGGCGGUCUUUGGCCGUCCGAGUUGUAAUCUAGAGAAGUGUUACCCGCGUCGGACCGUGUACAAGUCUCCUGGAAUGGAGCGUCAUAGAGGGUGAGAAUCCCGUCUUUGACACGGACUACCGAGGCUUUGUGGUGCGCUCUCAAAGAGUCGAGUUGUUUGGGAAUGCAGCUCAAAAUGGGUGGUAAAUCCCAUCUAAAGCUAAAUAUUGGCGAGAGACCGAUAGCGAACAAGUACCGUGAGGGAAAGAUGAAAAGAACUUUGGAAAGAGAGUUAAACAGUACGUGAAAUUGCUGAAAGGGAAACGCUUGAAGUCAGUCGCGUUGUCCGGGAAUCAGCCUUCCUUCUGGUUGGUGUACUUCCUGGUCGACGGGCCAGCAUCAGUUUUGACCGGUGGAAAAAGUUCGAGGGAAGGUGGCACCUCCGGGUGUGUUAUAGCCCUCGUUCGCAUGCAUCGGUUGGGACUGAGGAACUCAGCACGCCGCAAGGCCGGGAUUCGUCCACGUUCGUGCUUAGGAUGCUGGCA